AGCAAGUUAGCUAUGUAAGGGAAAUGUCAUAUGAAAAUGAUAGGACUACUGCGAUCCAUGUCAAAUAUCGUUUACAGCAGGGGUGCCCAAAAGGUAGAUCCCCAGAUGUUUUAAAACUCCAAUGGCAUGCACAGCAUUAUGGGAGUUGUAGUUCUACAACAUCUGGGGAUCUACCAUUUGGGCAUCCAUGGUUUACAAUUUGGAAGCAAUAUAAACAGCCUUAAAUGGAUCAUAUCCUAAAGGAAAAUAUAAAAAUACAAGCAAAUGAGUAAGUCUUUGUUGCUGGUAAUAUGCAUUAUGACCAGAAUAGGAUCAUACACUAUGAAUGUG